rnacentral:rRNA from 1 species
GAUGAACGCUGGCGGCGUGCCUAAUACAUGCAAGUCGAGCGAACAGACGAGGAGCUUGCUCCUCUGACGUUAGCGGCGGACGGGUGAGUAACACGUGGAUAACCUACCUAUAAGACUGGGAUAACUUCGGGAAACCGGAGCUAAUACCGGAUAAUAUAUUGAACCGCAUGGUUCAAUAGUGAAAGACGGUUUUGCUGUCACUUAUAGAUGGAUCCGCGCCGCAUUAGCUAGUUGGUAAGGUAACGGCUUACCAAGGCAACGAUGCGUAGCCGACCUGAGAGGGUGAUCGGCCACACUGGAACUGAGACACGGUCCAGACUCCUACGGGAGGCAGCAGUAGGGAAUCUUCCGCAAUGGGCGAAAGCUUGACGGAGCAACGCCGCGUGAGUGAUGAAGGUCUUCGGACCGUAAAACUCUGUUAUUAGGGAAGAACAAAUGUGUAAGUAACUAUGCACGUCUUGACGGUACCUAAUCAGAAAGCCACGGCUAACUACGUG